UACGUAGGUGGCAAGCGUUGUCCGGAUUUACUGGGCGUAAAGGGCUUGUAGGCUGUCCGUUAAGUCUGAUGUGAAAUCUCCCGGCUCAACUGGGAGGGGUCAUUGGAUACUGGCGGACUUGAGGUAGGUAGAGGAAAGCAGAAUUCCUGGUGUAGCGGUGAAAUGCGUAGAUAUCAGGAGGAAUACCAGUGGCGAAGGCGGCUUUCUGGGCCUAUCCUGACGCUGAGGAGCGAAAGCGUGGGGAGCAAACCGG
rnacentral:rRNA from 1 species